UACGGGGGGGGGCAAGCGUUGUUCGGAAUUACUGGGCGUAAAGGGCUCGUAGGUGGUCAACUAAGUCGGGACGUGAAAUCCCUCGGCUUAACCGGGGAACUGCGUCCGAUACUGGAUGACUUGAGUUCGGGAGAGGGAUGCGGAAUUCCAGGUGUAGCGGUGAAAUGCGUAGAUAUCUGGAGGAACACCGGUGGCGAAGGCGGCAUCCUGGACCGACACUGACGCUGAGGAGCGAAAGCCAGGGGAGCAAACGGG
rnacentral:rRNA from 1 species